UACGUAGGUGGCAAGCGUUGUCCGGAUUUAUUGGGUUUAAAGGGUGCGUAGGCGGCCCGUUAAGUCCGUGGUGAAAGCCUCCAGCUCAACUGGAGAACUGCCAUGGAUACUGGCGGGCUUGAGUACAGACGAGGUAGGCGGAAUUGAUUGUGUAGCGGUGAAAUGCAUAGAUACAAUCAAGAACUCCGAUUGCGUAGGCAGCUUACUAGGCUGUAACUGACGCUGAGGCACGAAAGCGUGGGGAGCGAACAGG
rnacentral:rRNA from 1 species